AUGUUGCAACUGCUUAGGUCCCACGGCCCGGAAAUAUCCGUGGGAGGAGAGCACCACUCUGCAUGGGCACGUGGCCUUGGGAACAGCCCUCAGUGCCCUGGGACAGCUCUGCCUCCAUGCUGGGAUCCAGGUGAGCCUCUGUGCUGGGAUCCAGGUGAGCCUCUGUGCUGGGAUCCAGGCCAGCCUGUGCUCAGCCACCAGCACACACACCUGGCUUUGCUGAGGAGCACCCAGAAGCCAGCAGACAGCAGUGACACCCAAAGCUGUGCCCUCAGUGUAAACCACCAAUGUAGGGGUCUGGAAGAUGUAUUUCAGCUCAUUCCAAUCCCAACAGUGCCCAGGGGCUCUUCAGCCCCAGUCCAUCACAGUGCUCAGCUCGUGUUUAAUGCCAAGCAGGCAUGCAAUCAGUUUGGGAGGAUAAGGAAGAAUGAAAAGGGGAAUAAUAAACAAAAAUGAGCCCUAGAGGAGAAAAACUGCCCAGUGCCAGCAUUGAUGCUCUCAGAGCAAACAGAAGGGGAGGCACUGCUUUGUGCUCACCCUCGGCCCGGCAGCACAGGUAUUGUCUGCUGCUAACAGCAAAAAAGCCUCACGGGGAUGCCACACGUGCAUGUGUGUGGUGAAACCCUCUGGAACAGGAAGACAAAUGAAGAAGUCAAGUUCUUGGUGUGCCAGGACAUUAUCCAAAGCCUUGGAUUUAUGGUUAACUGGUUCCCAUGGAGCAGCUACAGCUUUUACUGGUGCUGCAGCUCCCUGCCCUUGCCAGCCCAGCUGUUCCAGGCUCCUCAUCCCAGGUAGCUUCUGCUCCUUGGAUCCUUUCUUUCUCAUGUGGAUUUCAGAGGAUAAAAAUACUAAUAUGCUUCUUGGGAAAUGAUUAAAUUAGUAUCCAUUGUUCAUGCUCUAAAUGACACAGCUGACAAAGACCUGAUAUUCCUAUUUACUGCCCUCAAGAAAGGGGGCACAUAAAAGGCCUAUUAGAAAAAAAAAAUAGGUUAUAUUUCAUGUUUUAGUUGGGCUGCUGUGGUACAUCAAGUCUAGUAUUAUACAUAAAUGAAAUUGUUUUGUUUUUCCUUUGCUCUGCAAAGCAGAGCAUGAAACAGCAACUGUUGGGGCUCUGCUCCUAAUUUCUGACACAUCUUUUAACCUGCUCAUUUAGAAGCACUUACUUUGCAUCCUUCUCCUUAAGAAUUAGUGGGAUAUGAACCAUGAGGUUUCCUAGAUUAGGAAUGUCUGGAUAAUAAAAUGCUGUGGAACAGGAUUGAACA
rnacentral:lncRNA from 1 species